rnacentral:ncRNA from 1 species
UUGGUUAGAACUCCAGUUAAUCCGCCCACCGCAACGGUGUCGGGCGAGGGUCGUCACGCCGGCAACGACCCCUUUCGGCGAAAGCUUCGCCAGGCCUCCCCUGGGGGCCAACGGGACAUAACAGUCAAC